rnacentral:rRNA from 1 species
GUAAGGAAUAUUGGACAAUGGGGGAAACCCUGAUCCAGCCAUGCCGCGUGAGUGAAGAAGGCCUUCGGGUUGUAAAGCUCUUUCAGAUGUGAAGAUGAUGACGGUAACAUCAGAAGAAGCUCCGGCUAACUUCGUGCCAGCAGCCGCGGUAAUACGAAGGGAGCGAGCGUUGUUCGGAAUCACUGGGCGUAAAGAGUGCGUAGGCGGUUAUACAAGUCAGGAGUGAAAUCCCAGGGCUCAACCCUGGAAUUGCUUUUGAAACUGUAUAGCUAGAGUCCCGGAGGGGUUAAUGGAAUUCCGAGUGUAGAGGUGAAAUUCGCAGAUAUUCGGAGGAACACCAGUGGCGAAGGCGAUUGACUGGACGGGCACUGACGCUGAGGCACGAAAGCGUGGGGAUCAAACAGGAUUAGAAACCCGUGUAGUCC